rnacentral:tRNA from 1 species
UAUUUAAGAACAUCAAUUAUGCUCAUAUUUAAUAUUCAAAGAUCAUUUUUCGGAGG